GCAGGGGUGUAGAGGUGAAGAAGAGCUCUGGGGAUAGGUCAAGUCAGCUGGGCUGUGCUACCACGGGCAGCAGCAGUCUGCAGGAGAGCCCUGAACAUCAGUCUACUGGAUGCUGUAGCCCAAGUGACAACAACGUAACUGCGGAGCAAAUGCUGGAGCAGUAGAAAUGCUAGAGCUUCUAAAAUCCGCUCAGUGAGCUGAUUAGUUACAAAUAUGAAGGAAGCAUCAGCUCAUUCAGUACAAGCAAUGGAGCCUAGGAAUUAACAGUGAAGACUGGACAUAGCUGGAGCAAAUGACUUAACCUCUCUCUGCCCGUUUCCCUCAUCUGAGAAAUGCACUCACUGGCUCUCUCUCAGAUUAGGAGCUGCAUGUGGUGAGGAGUUGACACCUCCUGUCAACAACCACCUGAAUAAGCUUGGAAGCAGAAUGCCCAGCCCUGCUCCAGCCUUCAGAUGACUGCAACCUGAGACAGACAGCCGUGGAGAUCCAACUAACACACACCUCAAGUCCUGGCCCACAGAAACUAUGAGUCAGUAAAUGUCUGUUUUUUAAACCACU
rnacentral:lncRNA from 1 species